rnacentral:rRNA from 1 species
UCGAGAAGCUUCGGCAAUGGGCGAAAGCCUGACCGAGCGACGCCGCGUGAGCGAAGAAGGCCCUAUGGGUUGUAAAGCUCUGUCAGAUUGGGACGAAAACCUCGCGGUUAAUACCCGCGAGGCCUGACGGUACCAUCAGAGGAAGCACCGGCUAACCCCGUGCCAGCAGCCGCGGUAAUACGGGGGGUGCAAGCGUUGUUCGGAUUCACUGGGUAUAAAGGGUGCGCAGGCGGCCUGUUAAGUCAGAGGUGAAAUCGGUCGGCUCAACCGACAGACUGCCCCUGAAACGGACAGGCUUGAGUCCGGGAGAGGAAGGUGGAAUUCCAGGUGUAGCGGUGAAAUGCGUAAAUAUCUGGAGGAACACCGGUGGCGAAGGCGGCCUUCUGGCCCGGAACUGACGCUCAGGCACGAAAGCUAGGGGAGCGAACG